AAGCAGUAGCAAAAGUGGCGGCUCUAAGCAGCAGUAUUCGUAGAAACAAUUAUUAGCAAUCAAUUUGUAAUUUUUAUGCCAAAUAAAUAUUCUAAAAUUCAUUAGGUUGCAAAAUGUUUGAAUGUGUGAAUAAACGUUAAAACGAUCAAAAGAAAAAGUAGUGGUUCCAGCAAAUAUUGUAAUUCAAUUCGUUUUAUUUCCCAAAAGGCAGACCAACAAAAGAAAACUAGGAAAAAAGAACAAACUACUUUGGGGAGUGUAUACAUAAUAUAUUGGAGGCUGGUACUUCCGUCGCUAUCGCAACAUUAAAACAGUGCCGUCUGGUGAACCUUGAAUAAAUGUAAAAAAAAAACAAUGCAAAUACAAGUUAUAAAAUAGUGGACAAAAUAUUAAGAAGGCAGCAGCAUAUAAACGACCGAAACAGCCAGCUUUCGAUCUUGGCCAUCUGUCUGGAUACUCCUGGGAGCACUGAACAAAAAAUAUUUGGGAUGUUAAUUUAUGCAAAAUACGAUGGCAGGCACAGGCAUAUGUAUGUAUUUACAUAUAAACCACUGUGAGCCAGGCACACGCAACCGUAUUGAUUUCUGCGACGCGUAAAAAAUUGCACACAGUGUACCUACCAGCACUCUGAUUUUACAUAUUGCUACCGUUCGCUGCAAGCCCCCACAAGUCACUCUGA
rnacentral:lncRNA from 1 species